rnacentral:misc_RNA from 1 species
UAUACGGAGCACCCAAAAUUUCGAAUUUUUUUUAAGUCAACUUAUAAAUUUUUUAACGCUGAAAACGAUGGUACUUACGAAGAUUGGCGCAGACGAUUAUUUUGGAAGUUACAGCCUAUUGAAGACAUUAUUUAUAAUUCGAGAAAAUAAUUUAUUGUAAAAAAACUGUUGUCAUAUAGUAUACGGUCUACCUGCCUUUUUUUACAUAGGCUUAAGUUUAUUUUUAAUAGAUACACUUUAAUCUUUUUCUUCGGUCAACACUUUAUGUUUAUUGCCUUAUACACAGAUAACAAUAUUUCGAAAUGUUGUAAAAGUAUGGGCUCAAUAGCUCAGUACGUCAUUAAUUGCGCAACACAAUUUAUAUUUUACACAUUUAGUAUGUUGGAAAAAGAUUUUUAUUCAAUUAUUAGUAGUGACGAAUCAACCACAAAUUUUUUAAUUAGCAAAAAUAUUGUGGCAAAUAAUGAAAAUACCGAAUGUAUUAAGUGUGGAAGUGCUAUGAAUUUAUACCUACGCAAGGAGAUGGGUAAGGAAAGAAGAAUUUUACGUUGUAAGAGAAAGGAAUGUCAAACAACACAAAGCUUAAGGUCGAUAUUGACUUGUUGAUUUGCCGAGUGAAAAUAUCGAAGACGAAAAUGAAGACCCUCUUGAAAAUGGAAAAAGAAAUUAUGGUAGACGAAUGAACGGUCCUUGAGUGUUUGGAUUAUGCGACAAUAGUGAGAAACGAUAUUUUGUUGUCGAAAAGCGGGGCAAGUAAACUUUGCAUGAUAUUAUUAAAAAGGGGUUGUAUUGAGUUUUAUUAAAUACUCUAAUGGGUGGCCAGCGUAUAACGGGAUCAUCCAAUAUGGUUGAACGCAUAAUACAGUUAACCAAAGCGAAAAUUUUGUUGAUCCACUUACACAAGCGCACACUCAACGGAUCGAAAGUUUAUGGAAACCAUCACUUUUAAAAGUAGUUAAAAAUAUGUGUGGUACAAGUCCUGAUCUCCUUCCAAGAUAUCUCAUGGAAACAUGGUGACGUGGCAUAAAUAAAUCAGAUUUAUUUAAUGCAUUUUUGUAUAACAUAUUACAUUUUAUUUAUUUAUACUCAUUGACAACAAUUUUUUU